rnacentral:ncRNA from 1 species
AACAAAUUUGGUCCUAGUCUUCCAUUUAGCUACUUUUUUAACGAUACAUGCAAGCUACUAACAGCAUCACCGUAAUACCCAACAAAUUUCCAUCCUAAUAUUUCAUUAUUACCAAUUGAUAUCAGUCUUAAUUUAAAUUAAACUAAAACAUCAAGAAUAAUUCUACAACUGCAGUACCUAACAUUUUACAAUAAACAAAAAUUUGAUAUAGCAAAAAAAGAAAGAGUUGGUAAAUUAUGUGCCAGCUACCGCGGUUAUACAUAAAACCCUAGUUAAAUACUUCGGUAUAAAACGUGGUUAAAUAAGUCUAUAACCUAAGAUUAACACACUACUUCAGUAGUAAAAAACCUACAGAACUUCUUACCCAAAAAAUCUUAAAUAAAAUUGAAGCCACGAAAACUCCACAAUAAACUGGGAUUAGAUACCCCACUAUAUGAGCCAUAAAAUAAACCAAUACCAGAGAACUACUUAACCAAUUUUAAAACUCAAAGGACUUGGCGGUUUUUUAUAUCUUCCUGGAGGAGCUUGCUAUCCAACCGAUAAUCCUCGUUACACCUUACCAAUCUUAGCCAACUCCAACUUGUAUACCAUCGUCGUCAGUUUACCCCACGAGGGAUAAGUCCUCUUAAUCAAUAAACUCUUUCAAACGCCAGAUCGAGGUGCAGUUAAUAGAUUGGUGAUACGUGAGCUACAAUAAUCCUACAACCCCCCAAAAACAACUAUGGAUAUUACAUGAAAAACUAAAUUUAAACAGAAUUCAGAAGUAAUGAAAAUAAAAGAAAUUUUUCAUGAAAACUUCUAGCCCUAAAAUACGCACACAUCGCCCGUCACUCUCCUCAAACUUAGAAGAGAAAAGUCGUAACAUAGUAGGCGUAUUGGAAAAUGUGCCUGGAAUUAU